UUCGCGACCUAUUUGAAUCGACCUUGCGGAAGACGCCGGAAACCAGGUCGAUCGAGCAUUAGACGGAGAUAGCUAAAUCGGGGCAUCCCAUGUCUUGCGCGACUCUGGGGCGUUCUAGCCCCGGGAAUUGCCGUUUUGCGAAGUUUUCCAGGUUUCGUAAUGACAGCAGCGUUUUACCAUUCCCAGAACGACGCGCUGCGCUCCUUGUAACAACAGCACCCAGAUGGCGCUCGCCUCCGCGCAUCCACGGCCACGCAAGAGGCCGCGUUUCUACGAGAAAGCUCGCCCGCCCGCCUUCCUGCAUGGCGUUCGCCGCCAGCGUUUCCCGCUGGGAGACCCCGCCACCAUGCCGCGUGCCAGCAACAUGGAGGCUGCUUGACGAGGUUGGUCGACCUGCCUUGCUCAAUUUUUUGAAGCAUCCCACAUUUUCAAGCUUGUACAGCAGUGUAAGGAAUUUGUAGAGCAAUACUUUCUGUGAAAUGGAGCUAAGUCACCAUUGCAACAACAUCUUGUGUGGAUUGCUCCUUAAGUCAUCUGCUAGCCAACAGUGUGUUCACAUUCAUACAGUCAAUACCUCCUUGCGAAGAUUUUCCAGUGAGAUUGUGAUACACUCACAAUAACUCAAGGUCAAUCAAGGUUAUUGUGUCAAUAACACAAUACCCUCUUUUCUCAUGACGGUUUGCAUUAUUGGGCCUUCAGCUGCAGUGUCUGUACUGUAAU